rnacentral:tRNA from 1 species
GUCCAGCUAGUCAAAUGGCUAAGAUACUUCCCUCUCACGGAAGUGAUAUGAGUUCGAUUCUCAUGCUGGGUA